rnacentral:rRNA from 1 species
AGCGUGGCAGUGAGACUGUGGGGGAUAAGCUUCAUAGUCGAGAGGGAAACAGCCCAGACCACCGGUUAAGGCCCCUAAGCGUGUGCUAAGUGGGAAAGGAUGUGGAGUUGCUGAGACAACCAGGAGGUUGGCUUAGAAGCAGCCACCCUUGAAAGAGUGCGUAAUAGCUCACUGGUCAAGUGAUUCCGCGCCGACAAUGUAGCGGGGCUCAAGUACACCGCCGAAACCGUGGCAUUCAGUUUUGCUGGAUGGGUAGGGGAGCGUCGUUCACGAGGUGAAGCCAGCGGGUAACUUCUGGUGGAUUGUGGACGAGUGAGAAUGCAGGCAUGAGUAGCGAAAGACGGGUGAGAAACCCGUCCGCCGGAUGACUAAGGGUUCCAGGGUCAAGCUAAUCUGCCCUGGGUAAGUCGGGACCUAAGGCGAGGCCGACAGGCGUAGUCGAUGGACAACGGGUUGAUAUUCCCGUACCAGUGAAGAACCGUCCAUGUUGAGCCGGUGAUACUAACCGCCCGAACCAUCCCGAACCCCGUCUUUGACGGGGUCGGUGAUGGGGAGCGCGGGACCUGAACCGGGGAGGCAAGCGCAUUAACGGGUGUGACGCAGGAAGGUAGCCGGGCCGGGCAAUGGAAAUGACCUGGUCUAAGGGUGUAGGGCUGCCGGUAGGUAAAUCCGCCGGCUGUAUGCCUGAGACCUGAUGGGCGCCCACAUGGUGGGUGAUCCGGUGAUCCUAUGCUGCCUAGAAAAGCAUCGGCGCGAGGUUCAAACUGCCCGUACCCUAAACCGACACAGGUGGUCAGGUAGAGAAUACUAAGGCG